rnacentral:tRNA from 1 species
GCCCGCGUAGCUUAGGCAGCAGAGCGCCUUCCUGGUCCGGAGGAAACCCGAGUGCAACUCUCGGCGUGGGCU